CGGCGUUGCCACUUCCACCGCUUCUGCUCCCCUUCGCCCUGCUUCAUGUUCCGCGAUUCCCUUCGCACACCCUCCCGCUGCCGCCGCUGUUCUCCUACCACCCGUCCUCCCGCGCUGGGUAGCGGUACUAAUUUAGGAUCUGAUACACUUUCUGUGCGGAAGCGCGGUCCUGCUAAAUCCGUGUGCCGGGGUUCCAGAUUGCAGGAGCUUGCCUUGUAGCGUCGGGUUAUGCUGGUUGCAGCGAGUGGCUAAGCAGAGAUCCAGUCGCGGCGCGCUGCUUGCUUGCUUCCAACCCUGGGUGCUUGUGCUACUCUUUCAAGCUCGUGAUCUCAUCAUGGGCAAUGCAGCAUGCUCGUUCUUACUAGUUACUAAGUUUAUUUAUCCAUACAACCCAUGUUAUAAGUUGGGUCAGGAACUCAGGAUACGGAUACUGUUAUGCAGCUGUGCAGGCAGGGCCACAGAACAAGUUUGUUUGUACACAGACUCAAGAAAUGGAAAACAAAUUCUUGUUAUUUGGGAAAACAACUUCUUGUUAUUUGCGUUUGCACACCAUUUUGAGUUGAUUUCAUCCACUGAAGACUAAAGAGUGAAGUAAUAAGGUCGUGUACACUUGAUUUUCCCCUCCUCUGGUUGGUUGCACAGGACCAUGAUCUGGUCGUUGAGCCGAGGUCAUUCACCGGUUCCACUCAGCCCAGCAGACCGGAUGUAAGGCCAUCGUCUUCAUCGUCCAGCGAUAAUGCCAGGGCACAUAAUUCAGGUAACCGUAUGUGGAUAUGUUUCUGUAUCCUUGGCACAGUCAGUAUCCAGUGCCAUUUAUCAAUACUGUCAAUGUCUUCUUCAGGAGAUACCUGGAAGAGCCUUGUCUUUGGCUGGGUAAACACAAAUAAUACUACGCUGAGCCUCCUCAGUUCAAAUGCUGAAAGCGCCUUGGGUUUUCUUCACUGUUCUCGUGGCGCGGUAGCAUAAUUCAGACAUUCAUGUACUGGGAGCUGAGGGAUUAGUACGAGGCCAUUUAUGCUGUUUUGCUGCAUGUAAUUCUUAACCUCUGCAUCUCUGCUGGCAAACGUACUGAUUUACCCUGUUUGCUGUAUCGUUUCAAUCCCAAGCGAUCCAAUCUAUCUUCUGCCCUGCUUUUUGUCCAUCAACAACCAGCUAGAACUUGGUUGGCAAUAAGAACUAAGAAGCGUUGAAGCCGAUGUAUCAUGCUGCUCCCGUGACAUCCAGACGCCCCGUUCCUCCUUCCAGACGCCCAUUUCUGGGAUCCAAAUAUGGUGGCUCUGGUAGGGUGGUUUAAGAUCAUGUAUCUGCUGCUGAAUAGCUGAGCUGCCCGGGUUGUCUGCACAGAACUUAGCACAGCCGCUGUGUUCUUAUGUAAUGCUGCAGCAGUGCGCGGGAUAAGUUUUCUGCAGAAAAAUAGCAUUCAUUGUAUUUGUCUGGAACGUAUGAUCCCAAUUUGAUAACUGUAGCUUCUGCUAUUUGCUGUCAUAAUAAGCAGUCUGGAACGUAUGCGUGGCAGGCCCUGCUGCCUGUACGCGUCUC